AUACAACUAGAUCCAUACCCCUAACUCCCUAGAUUGGAUAGCAGAUUUUCUGCUAUCCAUUUUCU
rnacentral:sRNA from 1 species